AACACAUCUGGAGCGCCCCAGGUUGAGGAAGGCUGCUCUAAGAAAUUUUAAUUAUUGGUGGAACAUUUGGUCCGAUCCAGAAAAAUAGUGCUAAUCCCUGAAUUUCAGAGAGGACGGUGAUGCUUUCGGUUCAGUGAAAAAGGGAGGAUCUAUUCAUUCCACCUAAGUAUCACUUUCCAUUCUUGAGCAACGACUGGGGACCUGAGGAACAUCCGAACUCAGAGAUCCAAGAAAUCAGCCGGAUCGAGAGAAAAGAAAGAGAGACGAGGGAUCAGUUUAUGACCAGCAGUGCAAUUUCUUGGUACACUUUUCCAGUCCUCACAGCAGUCUGCCUCAUCCCCCUGCUGGUGAAGGCAGCUAUGCUUGACGUGGUGGUGAGUGCCGGCGGAAAUGGAGCCCUAACAAGAUACCUCCCUCUUGAAACACGUGCUUGGGGGAAACCCAACAACAUCUUUUAAAAAGGGGUGCCCCCACCCGCCAAAGAAAGAAACAGCCCAAUCAGGCCACAGAAAUCGGAUUCUCUGAGUGCAAAAUUGGGGUGAUCUUCAUGCCAUGUUUGAGCAGCUCAACCGUCAUGCAAGCAAAUAGAAGUUGGGUACAAGAGGUGCGUUGCGCUGAUAAAACACAGAGCAGCCAAGAUUGCUUCAGAGGUGCCUCAGUGCUUGUGCAACUCUGCAAUGAUGCCACAUGAGGUAGAGAACCAUGGAGACGCCCCCUGAACCUAUCGGGAAGCACAUUCAGACUUCACGCCGAAGGUUCAAGCCUGACCACAUUAGAGGGUCUUUGUUCAUACACAGCCUAACAGUUGUGGAAUGCGCAGAAGUAAGGCAGACUCUCACCAACCACAGCGCCAGUUAUUAUCAGGAGGGGCAGUGCCCAGUCCAAAUGCAGAAAUGAUACCCAGUGUGCAGACAAUGUGGUAUGAGAGAAAUUGAGACCGAAAGGCGUGCGUUUCUGCUCCAAGGUCUUAGACAGGAGGAAGUGUGUUUCAGAUUAUCAGAAAUGGUGCGUCUUUCCCAGCGCAAGCUGUGUUUUUUCUUGGAAGAAAGAGAAAAUGAGAGACAAACAGAAUGAGUGCAGAGCUGUCAUUGAGGGACCGGCUCCUACCUGUCACCGGGUUCAGAAUGAAGGACGCUAUUGGAUCGAUCAGGUCUGAAAUACAUCAGACUCCGGAAACAGACUAUGUAGGAAGAAGAGGCCAGUAGAUAACAAGUGGGUGGAUAA